rnacentral:rRNA from 1 species
UACGAAGGGGGCUAGCGUUGCUCGGAAUGACUGGGCGUAAAGGGCGCGUAGGCGGUUUGUACAGUCAGGUGUGAAAUCCCCGGGCUCAACCUGGGAACUGCAUUUGUGACUGUAGAGCUGGAGUACGGCAGAGGGGGAUGGAAUUCCGCGUGUAGCAGUGAAAUGCGUAGAUAUGCGGAGGAACACCGAUGGCGAAGGCAAUCCCCUGGGCCUGUACUGACGCUCAUGCACGAAAGCGUGGGGAGCAAACAGG